AUCCUGACCCAUGGGCUUGGGACAUUCCAGCCUCUACAGUCACAAUUGGAAACUGAGGCACAGUGAGGUUAAGUAACCUGCCCAAGGUCACACAGCUAAUACGUGGUGAAGCUGCGAUUUACACCCAGGAGGAGGCCAUCGAGGCUGGCGUUGGUGGUGAGGACAAGAGCUGCAGGAGUUGGUGGAAUGCUCUGGAAAAUGAUAGCAAUAAUGCUUGCACAGCAUGAAGAAUAUAAUCAAUGUCACUGAAUUGUACAUGUGAAAAUUAUUGAAUUGGCAAAUAUUUUAUGUAUAUUUUUACCACCAAAAAAAAAAGAAUGGCAGGAAAUCAGGCUGGAAUGUGCAGCACAGAGGGUUCUUGCAGGCUAUGCCAAGGAGUUUGAAUUUUAUUCCAUGUGCCAUGAAAAACUA